rnacentral:rRNA from 1 species
UACAGAGGGGGCAAGCGUUAUUCGGAAUUAUUGGGCGUAAAGGGCGCGUAGGCGGCCUGGCAAGUGGAAGGUGAAAUCCCUCGGCUUAACCGAGGAACUGCCCUCCAAACUGCUUGGCUUGAGUCCGGGAGAGGUGAGUGGAAUUCCCAGUGUAGCGGUGAAAUGCGUAGAUAUCGGGAGGAACACCUGUGGCGAAGGCGGCUUUCUGGGCCUUACCUGACGCUGAGACGCGAAAGCGUGGGGAGCGAACCGG